rnacentral:snRNA from 1 species
AUUGCUUCUCGGCCUUUUGGCUAAGAUCAAGUGUAAUAAGGUGUCCACUUUAUUUUUAUUUUUUUGGAGAUACAGUCUCACUAUAUUACCCUUGGUAGAGUGCUGUGACAUCACAGCUCACAGCAACCUUCAAUUCUU